rnacentral:rRNA from 1 species
GACGAACGCUGACGGCGUGCUUAACACAUGCAAGUCGAGCGGUAAGGCCCUUUCGGGGGUACACGAGCGGCGAACGGGUGAGUAACACGUGGGUGACCUGCCCUUAGCUCUGGGAUAAGCCUGGGAAACUGGGUCUAAUACCGGAUAUGACUCCAUAACGCAUGUUGUGGGGUGGAAAGCCUUGUGCGGCUAGGGAUGGGCCCGCGGCCUAUCAGCUUGUUGGUGGGGUGAUGGCCACCAAGGCGACGACGGGUAGCCGGCCUGAGAGGGCGACCGGCCACACUGGGACUGAGACACGGCCCAGACUCCUACGGGAGGCAGCAGUGGGGAAUCUUGCGCAAUGGGCGAAAGCCUGACGCAGCGACGCCGCGU